rnacentral:misc_RNA from 1 species
AAAAAAAUAAGGGAACUAUCCAAGAUUCAUAAUGGAACGUUAGUAGUUCAGCAAAACGCAAAAUUGCUAAAUUAAUCCAGACCAUCAUAUUAAGGACUAACUAGGGAGAAGAGAUGAGAUCACGAUUCAAUGCAUCAUGGCCUCAAUUCUCUUCAAAGGAGACCCAAAGAAGCACAGGCAGUGAAAAAAUUUCCUGCGACUGUUGGGUAUCACAAAUACAUACUACAAAAAGGUCCAUCCUUCAGUACAGUUUAUCAAACAGACGUUAUCAUUGGCUUGAGUAUAAUCUUGAUUUCCCAUUUUUCUGCCAAAAUGC